GGUGCUGUGCUCCCAUCCGUCCCUCAGAUCGUGCCAGAAGCCCCAGAUCCCGGCGAUAAUCAGACACAUCAACAGGAAUAGGCUGCACAUUGUAUAAAUUGGCUCGCAGACUUGCUUCGGGGCGGUUUCGUCGAGGAUGUUUGCAGGCGCUCUCGCAAGAUAAUUCGUGAACUGCAUUAGACUCCUGUAUGACAUCACACAACAGAGAAAUUUACAACUUCCUGAAUCUUCACAACGUUCCAGCAUUAAAACGGAACAUAAGAUGACGCGGAAAAGUGAGAACAGGAAGAAGAAGAGUGAUUCCCGUUCGAAGAUACAAAUCCCACUUGUUCAUACUUGGCGAGGAGCAAUCACGAGGGAAUCCGUUGUGGAAGUGUCACUUCUUCAUUUCUUCGCGCACGAAACGGACCUCGCGAGCAUCAUCACUGAUUGCAUCGUCGAGAUUGCACCGUCACGAAUUCACAUCGCACGUCGGGACGGAUCGAAGAGCGCUAGCGGACUGCGGACUGCGGUCGCGGCGCGGAUGCGUGUGCAAUUUUUUUCUGUACGCUCGCACCUGUCCAUUCAUACUCGUCAGAUCGACGAUGGAUAAUUGUUGUUGACGAUCGGACGCUCUCGGCGUGAUGCUUAUCCCUUGAAAACACACACUUGCUCGCCUGAACGAUGCAAUGGACUUCCUCAGCGUCGCGCGUACGAGGGGACGCUCUUCCUCGGGAUGGCUUGAGAGGGAAAGUCGGUCUCGGGCAGAUCCUGGUUUCGUCCGUGCAAAGUCCUCAUCAAAGACAGAAGGAGGAAACUCUUCGACACGUGGAAUCCUGGAAGCUCUCCCUCAUGUUGUGCGACGAAAUCAAUAGCAAUUUCCGUAGUUAUGCUACCUCCAGUGUGCAACGCAUUAUUAGGCAUGUAUUAGACGAGAAUGGCAAUUGAGAGCUCUUGAUGAUGACUGUUAUUGUCAAUUUAAUGUUCACGCAAACGAUAUAUCAUACAUCAUGUGACGGACGUACUCAGAAAAGUUUUUGAAACUUUCUUUCAGAAAGUUUUAGCUAGAGGAAAAUUAAGUUUUUUAAAUAUGCUUCUAACAUUGUCAUUUGUGGUCCUCUUUAUACUUUUUGAUUCUCCUAAUAUAAUAGAAAUACAAUUUUU